rnacentral:misc_RNA from 1 species
ACAACUACCUCACAUGAAAAUGUGGUAUUGGCUGAAGUGGAUAGUACUUGCAGUGCAGGUCUCACUUAUCUGAAAUCAAUGGGCCGGAGAAGUGGACCACAGCGACAGACUUUCAGAGUGUUUUGAAACGCAAAACUAGUCUCUAGCAGGUUGAAAUCCAAGCCGAUUAGACCCCCAUUUUAGUCCAAAUAAGAGA